UAGGGAUUGAACCCAGGGAGCUGUACCUCUGAGCCACGUCCCCAGCCCUUUUUAUUUCACUAAGUUGCUGAAACUGGCCUCAAACCUGUGACCCCCCUCAGCCUGUGAGUCGCUGGGCCCACAGGUGGGUGACGCCGGGAGCCUUUCACAUUUGUGUUCGUGAGGAUGUCUGUCCGUCUGUCUUUGUCAGAACUGAGGCCUGGAGUCCCCUGGUGGGCGCCCCCUGGUGGGCGUCCCUUGCUCAGCGCAGCCGUGGGGUCCUCUUUCCAGCCUCGUGAGCCCCUGCGCUGGCCACGCGGAGGCCCCUGCCCGUGUGUCCUCCGCAGUGUGUGGUGCCCGGGGCUGGCUCUGCUCGUCUGCACCCGUUUGGGUUCAUCCAUCUUGGUUCUCAGUUCCCUGCUUCCGUGUGGACGGACGGGCCUUUCUCCUGGAAUCUGGCUGGACUCUCUCUGCUUCUCUGUGGCGGGGCCGGUGCCUGAGACCAACAGGAAAGAAAGAGGCCCAGGGAAGGAAGAGCCUCCUGCAGGAGCCUGUGUGGGAACGUGAACACUCGCCCGCAUCCUACAGACGCAGCCUCUGCAGAGAGCAAGUGCCAAGAGCAGGGCGUACAGCCCCGGAGCUGGGAUGUCAGCGGACAGCCCCAACCCCCUGGGCAAGCAGUGACCGCUAUGAGGUAGACUACAGCCCCAGUGCCAAGGAACAGAGAGGGCAGUGACUCCCUCCACGCGGCACAGCCCCCUCGGCAGCUGGACCCCGGGCACGUGGGGAAACUGAGGCCCAGCGGGAGGGGCCCUCCUCACCCAAGCUGCGUGACGAGUUGCCAGGGGAUCAACAGCCUGGUUGCUCCUCCCUCUGAAUUCUGCCACCGCCCCUUGGCUCUCCCUGGAACUGCAGGACGGCCCUGGUGGGCGCAGAUGCCCGGCUCCACACGGCCACCCCGCCCUGGUCCACUGCCCCAUGGACACAAAGCCACCUCUGGCUGCAGCCUUCUCUCCUCUCCCUGUGACGUUCAGAAACCCAGGACUUUCCAGAACUCUGAAAAGGCUCCCCAGGACCAGGUCCAGGGGUUGGUUCCAAAUACCACAAUUUCAUUUCGUCUGAAAGGCAGCUCUGGGAGCAAAGCAAGACUCUGGCAAUACGCACACCGGCAGACCCUCCCACCCAGAGCCGGAGGAGCAGGGACGAGUGGAUGCGAGGAGGGGCUGAGUCUGGGGCAGACGCUGCAAGACCAGGUGUUCUGAGGGCGGCGACAGGAAGAGGAGCCUGGCACCGUCCCUCCCAGGCAGGAGCCAAUCCAGCCACGCACACAGCAGCUCUGCUGAAACUGAGCAACUUGGAACCCACGGAGCUGCUGACAGUGAGUCGGCCCCCCCACGGUGCCCAGGGGAGCGUGUCUCGCUGCUGCUGCAUGGAGGAGUCUGGCACCCACUGUUUGAAACAGAACAUCGGCAUCUCUAUGCCUCGGCAAUGUGGCUGCCCGCACGUGUGGGCAUUUCGGAGAGCCCCACUCCGAGAGGCAUGUCAGCGGCCAGCAUGGCUGCACCCAGCUUCAUGGCCCUGAGCUGCCAGCCACCCAGAUGCCCACGUUCACCAUGUGGCUUGCAGCUUGCAGCCAUGGCCUGUUUGUGCGGGAGGCUGUCACAGCAGUGCGAAGCCACCUCCUGAGCUGGGCCCACCAUGAAGAUGGUCCGUCGACCCCUCCCUGCCCAACGGAAGCCCACAGCAUGACACAUCCCGCACCCAUCUACACCGAAAAUUCCCAGCAGGCCAGACCCUUCCUUGGUGCUGUGCCUUGGAACGAUACCACCUUACCCAGGGGCACAGGGACUUGCUGGGAGAAAAAAAUAACAUUCCAAACUUAC